rnacentral:rRNA from 1 species
UACGUAGGGUGCAAGCGUUGUCCGGAAUCAUUGGGCGUAAAGAGCGUGUAGGCGGUCCGGUAAGUCCGCUGUGAAAGUCGGGGGCUCAACCCUCGAAUGCCGGUGGAUACUGUCGGGCUAGAGUGCGGAAGAGGCGAGUGGAAUUCCUGGUGUAGCGGUGAAAUGCGCAGAUAUCAGGAGGAGCACCGAUGGCGAAGGCAGGUCUCUGGGCCUCUACUGACGCUGAGACGCGAAAGCGUGGGGAGCAAACAGG